rnacentral:rRNA from 1 species
AGCAGCCGCGGUAAUUCCAGCUCCAAUAGCGUAUAUUAAAGUUGUUGCAGUUAAAAAGCUCGUAGUUGAAUUUCGGGAUCAAUACGUCGGUCGUGCUUCGGUACGUACUGGCGUAAUUGAUUUCUCCCUUCUGACGAACCAUGAUGUCAUUAACUUGGUGUCAUGGGAAAUCAGGACUGUUACUUUGAAAAAAUUAGAGUGUUUAAAGCAGGCUCACGCUUGAAUACAUUAGCAUGGAAUAAUGAAAUAGGACGUUCGAUCCUAUUUUGUUGGUUUUUAGGAUCAACGUAAUGAUUAAUAGGGAUAGUUGGGGGCAUUAGUAUUCAAUUGUCAGAGGUGAAAUUCUUGGAUUUAUUGAAGACUAACUACUGCGAAAGCAUUUGCCAAGGAUGUUUUCAUUAAUCAAGAACGAAAGUUAGGGGAUCGAAGACGAUCAGAUACCGUCGUAGUCUUAACCAUAAACUAUGCCGACUAGGGAUCGGAUGAUGUUAAUUUUUUAAUGACUC